rnacentral:rRNA from 1 species
GAUGAACGCUAGCGACAGGCCUAACACAUGCAAGUCGAGGGGCAGCACGAAGUAAGCUUGCUUACUUUGGUGGCGACCGGCGCACGGGUGCGUAACAGGUGUGCAAUCUGUCCAUAAUCGGGGAAUAGCCCAGCGAAAGUUGGAUUAAUGCUCCAUGUGAGUUUUAGAGGCAUCUCUUUAAUUUGAAACGUAAGGAUUAUGGGUGAGCACGCUUCUGAUUAGGUAGUUGGUGAGGUAACGGCUCACCAAGCCGACGAUCAGUAGGGGUUCUGAGAGGAAGGUCCCCCACAUUGGAACUGAGACACGGUCCAAACUCCUACGGGAGGCAGCAGUGAGGAAUAUUGGUCAAUGGGCGCAAGCCUGAACCAGCCAAGUCGCGUGAAGGAUGAAGGUUCUAUGGAUUGUAAACUUCUUUUGUCUGAGGGUAAAAAAGCGGACGUGUCCGUUCUUGCAAGUAUCAGACGAAUAAGCAUCGGCUAACUCCGUGCCAGCCGCCGCAGUAAAAC